GCCGAGCUUAGUAACGUGGGCUUGUGACCUGAGUGGGGGCAUUAAAGUGGCGGGACCGUUGGUCCAGUCCAGAUGGCUGGACUUUGGGUUGGCUAAAUUCUGGCUUGCCCAAUCCAAGCCGGUCGUUGAAACAAGGGACUUGAGCGAAAGCUUGGGUUUCAUGGCUCCUAAAGUGGAGGGUACCGCGUUAGGUGGCUUCACAGAGCAGCGACCACCUCCCGCUUCCGGCAGUGGAUGGAUAAUGAGUCGGUGCCAUGCGGGUCCACAUAGCUUGAUGGGCUGUUCAAACUGGACCGCCACAUUU
rnacentral:SRP_RNA from 1 species